GCCAUUUUGGUCCGAGUCCCAGGCGCCUGCUGGAGAGCCUCUCUGAAGUCCUGCAGUGGGGAUCAUCAGUGCCAGGGGGCGGUCUCUAAGCCCAAGUGCCCCUACCCUUUCCCUACCUUUGGGUGUUACCUUUAGAGUAGACAACAGUGGGCAGAGGAGCUGCAUCUAGAUGGCUGUGAGAGGCAGGAGGGGUUCCUGGGGGCUCAGCGGGCUCUGCAGGGGCACAUGGGACAGGAGUCAGGUUUGUCCAGGAGAGUGGCCAGUGAGGUGAGAGCUGCACCUGAGAGGUCACCAGAAGAGGCCCCUACCUGAGCUGCACACCUGCAGGGCCCCAGGCAGGACCUCCCUAGUAGUAGCAUCCACAGCUACAGGGCAAGUGAAGCAGGAGGGGGCAGAGCUGACCUUACUUGUCUGAAGGGCUCGAAGCCAGCACCUCCGGGCAUGGCCUGUGGAACCAAGGAGCAGUCUGUGGA
rnacentral:lncRNA from 1 species